rnacentral:rRNA from 1 species
GACGUAGGGUGCGAGCGUUGUCCGGAUUUAUUGGGCGUAAAGAGCUCGUAGGCGGUGUGUCGCGUCGGCCGUGAAAACCUGCAGCUUAACUGUGGGCUUGCGGUCGAUACGGGCAUCACUGGAGUUCGGCAGGGGAGACUGGAAUUCCUGGUGUAGCGGUGAAAUGCGCAGAUAUCAGGAGGAACACCGGUGGCGAAGGCGGGUCUCUGGGCCGAUACUGAC